rnacentral:rRNA from 1 species
GUUGAACGCUGGCGGCAUGCCUUACACAUGCAAGUCGAACGGUAACAGGUCUUCAGAUGCUGACGAGUGGCGAACGGGUGAGUAAUACAUCGGAACGUGCCUAGUAGUGGGGGAUAACUACUCGAAAGAGUGGCUAAUACCGCAUGAGAUCUACGGAUGAAAGCAGGGGAUCGCAAGACCUUGUGCUACUAGAGCGGCCGAUGGCAGAUUAGGUAGUUGGUGGGAUAAAAGCUUACCAAGCCGACGAUCUGUAGCUGGUCUGAGAGGACGAUCAGCCACACUGGGACUGAGACACGGCCCAGACUCCUACGGGAGGCAGCAGUGGGGAAUUUUGGACAAUGGGCGAAAGCCUGAUCCAGCAAUGCCGCGUGCAGGAUGAAGGCCUUCGGGUUGUAAACUGCUUUUGUACGGAACGAAAAGCCCCGGGUUAAUACCCUGGGGUCAUGACGGUACCGUAAGAAUAAGCACCGGCUAACUACGUGCCAGCCGCCGCUGUAA